rnacentral:rRNA from 1 species
AUUGAACGCUGGCGGCAGGCCUAACACAUGCAAGUCGAGCGGAUGAAGGGAGCUUGCUCCUGGAUUCAGCGGCGGACGGGUGAGUAAUGCCUAGGAAUCUGCCUGGUAGUGGGGGAUAACGUCCGGAAGCGGGCGCUAAUACCGCAUACGUCCUGAGGGAGAAAGUGGGGGAUCUUCGGACCUCACGCUAUCAGGUGAGCCUAGGUCGGAUUAGCUAGUUUGUGGGGUAAAGGCCUACCAAGGCGACGAUCCGUAACUGGUCUGAGAGGAUGAUCAGUCACACUGGAACUGAGACACGGUCCAGACUCCUACGGGAGGCAGCAGUGGGGAAUAUUGGACAAUGGGCGAAAGCCUGAUCCAGCCAUGCCGCGUGUGUGAAGAAGGUCUUCGGAUUGUAAAGCACUUUAAGUUGGGAGGAAGGGCAGUAAGUUAAUACCUUGCUGUUUUGACGUUACCAACAGAAUAAGCACCGGCUAACUUCGUG